rnacentral:rRNA from 1 species
GACGAACGCUGGCGGCGUGCUUAACACAUGCAAGUCGAACGGAAAGGCCUGCUUUCCCUUGUGGAUUGCGGGUACUCGAGUGGCGAACGGGUGAGUAACACGUGAGUGAUCUGCCCCCAACUUGGGUAUAAGCCUGGGAAACUGGGUCUAAUUCCCGAUAGGACUGCAGGGUGGUGCCUGUGGUGGAAAACGAUUUUCUAGUGGUUGGGGAUGAGCUCGCGGCCUAUAAGCUUGUUGGUGGGGUAAUGGCCUACCAAGGCGGCGACGGGUAGCCGGCCUGAGAGGGUGGACGGCCACAUUGGGACUGAGAUACGGCCCAGACUCCUACGGGAGGCAGCAGUGGGGAAUAUUGCACAAUGGGCGGAAGCCUGAUGCAGCGACGCCGCGUGGGGGAUGACGGCCUUCGGGUUGUAAACUCCUUUCGACCGCGAGGAAGCCACCUGGUUGGAAGGGUGGUGACGGUAGUGGUAGAAGAAGCACCGGCUAACUACGUG